UCCAAUUAAUCAUCACUUUGCUUUUUAAGUAAAUAACAAUGUUUAACAUAUCUAUUACAAUUCAUACCGACUAUCAUUAACCAAAAGCUUAUAACUCUUAGCUGUUGGUAAAUAAACA